rnacentral:rRNA from 1 species
CCAAUAGCGUAUAUUAAAGUUGUUGCAGUUAAAAAGCUCGUAGUUGAAUUUCGGGAUCAAUCUGCCGGUCGUGCCUCCGGUAUGCACUGGUUUUAUUGGUUUCUCCCUUCUGACGAAUCAUGCUGUCAUUAAUUUGGUGUCAUGGGGAAUCAGGACUGUUACUUUGAAAAAAUUAGAGUGUUUAAAGCAGGCUCACGCUUGAAUACAUUAGCAUGGAAUAAUGAAAUAGGACGUUUGACCCUAUUUUGUUGGUUUCUAGGAUCGACGUAAUGAUUAAUAGGGAUAGUUGGGGGCAUUAGUAUUCAAUUGUCAGAGGUGAAAUUCUUGGAUUUAUUGAAGACUAACUACUGCGAAAGCAUUUGCCAAGGAUGUUUUCAUUAAUCAAGAACGAAAGUUAGGGGAUCGAAGACGAUCAGAUACCGUCGUAGUCUUAACCAUAAACUAUGCCGACUAGGGAUCGGAUGAUGUUAUUUUUUAAUGACUCAUUCGGCACCUUACG